AAUUUCCGCUCAUCCAUAUAUCUAGUAAUUCAUGGUUAUAGUCAUUAAGGACAAUAAAGGACUCUUAUCAAGGAAAGAGUUUACUUAAAGUAGUAAUUGAAGCGGAGUUGACUUUAGGAGGAUUAAACACAAGAAUUUCAAUGAAGGAAUUGAAGAUGAGAGAUUUAUUUGUUCUUCACUGUAUUUUCCAUUAUAUUUUUCUUUGUGUUCUUGUUCAGUUCAAUAAUAUAAGUAUAGGAUGAUUUGAUACUAGAUACACUAACUAUAUAUAUAUAUAAUUGGAGAAUACAAUAAGCUUUGUAGACUAAACUAUCGAGAAAAGAGAGGUGCAUUAUCUUUACAAAUCUAGAAUUAUCUUCAACUUCUUUUUUUAAUCACAAAAAAGACUCACUACUAAUAUAUAAAUCAGUAACCAUAUAAAACAUUUAUGACAAGUUCCACCUUACAAAUAUAAUUGAUAUCAAUAUGAUUGAAAUUACUGAUAAGUAAUUUCUGCAUUAUAUACAUACAUCAGGAACACUUAUCUAUGAAAUAGUUUUCAUAGAGUAGGAGACGAAGCAAAUUUGACUUAAGGAGAAAAAGACUCAAGAACUUCAAUGAAGGAGCAGUGGAUGAAUGAUGAGAACUCUCUCUGUUCCUCACUGGAUCUUUCAUUCCAUUAUUCUGUCGUUUUAUGGAAUUCCAUAGUUCUUAAAUGUUGAAGGGUAUUCGGAAAAUUACCAGGUCUAAAUUAAUAAACCAAUUUCAAAUAAAAAGACAAAAAAAUAAAUUAAGUCAAUUUUUUUGCAUAUCUAUUUUCUAUUAACAUUGUAUUUUCUAUAUAUUUUCUAAAUUAACAGCAAAUAUAAACAUGAGAUAAUAAAAAGUAGCUUGUAACUAAUCAAAUUUCCACGAUUAUCACAAUCAUUUAAAAUAGUUACAAUUAAAGAGAACUGGAUGGCAUGAAACAACUUGUGAAGAAAACCGACGGUGCCAUUCUUCAACAUUAUUGUUUAUCCGUGGUAAUUCUUGUCCGUUUGAUUGAACAUAUUCCACAAUUUGAUGGAAAACCUAGGACUACCACUAUACCCCUAUUUCUACAAGAAGGAUUUGACUACUUGUUUGAAUGUAUAUUGUGACGAAAAGGCUACCAAGGCAACAAUCAAGAUCAAUGAAAAAGAUGAAUUUAUUGAACAAAUCAACGAUCAUACACACGCUCCAUCGUAAACUGACGCACAAGUGACCAUUAUGACAUCCAAUAUUAAAAGAAUGGCUCAAGAAACAAUGGUUACUCCACAGCAAAUUCUAUCCAAAGAAUUAAGAAACGUAAAUGAUGAUGUUCCUGCUAAUCUUCCUACAAUUGAAACAAUUAGAAGAAAUAUUCGAAAAGUUAGGGAAAGAAAUGACCUACCUCCGAACCCAUUGAAUAGGCAAGAUUCUUGAUAGAUGAAAUUGGUUUAUUAAUAUAUGUGGAAAUUUUCCGGGAAUCAUGUAGAAGUAUACGAUGAAUCCGUAGAAAAUCUGGAGGAAUAUAUGUAUUUUAACCAUAGAGGCAAUAAUUCAUGAGGUUAGAAGUCACUAUCACAACCCUUGACGUGAAGGGGUAUUUGCACAAUGAAGGAUUAAAGGAUUCAAUUAAAGGAGAUGAGAUCCACUGAUUGAGGCACAAAGAGAUGAUCUCCUAUAUACAUGAAGCUGAAGAGAUGGUCAGAAGAAGUAUUGCAUAACCAAAUUGAAAAUAUGAAUUCUUAGGAACAGAAAAGAUGGCUGUAUGCAGAUCCAUAUUUCCGAAUACUUUGUACGAAAUCACUAUGAAUUAAAUUUAUUUCUACGCCGUUCUUCUCUCUCCAUUUAAUAAAUAGUGAUUAUUCUUCAUCUUAGACGUGAAAUAUGACAUCCAUCAACUUGAAUGAUUCCUUGUUGCCACCAUAAAGAUAAAAAAUAUAGUGUUUACUUGAAAAUUGCCUGGAAUUGCAUGGAGCCUAUAAGUUAUAACAACACAAUGAAGAAAAUUUUCAUAAUUGAUUUUUUUUAAUAUAUUUCUAAUAUUCUCGUUUGUUCUAGUACAUACUAAUUUUAAUAAAAAAAUGUUUUAGAACAUUUAAGAUAAAUGA
rnacentral:lncRNA from 1 species